rnacentral:misc_RNA from 1 species
AAGUCGUAACAAGGUUUCCGUAGGUGAACCUGCGGAAGGAUCAUUAACACGUAUCCAACGUUAAACCCCCCGUGAACCUUUAUUGUAGUCGUGCCCUCUGUUGGAAAUACGCAAUCCCUGGUAAAUCAUCGCCGAACAGUUUUGAUUCAGGGACUUCGUUGGUCUGGGUAAGAAGACGCGAGGCAAGUGGUCUGGCAUCCCUCUGCUUGUUAGUGUCUGAAAGUGUCACUAGCUCUGUAAGGAUGGCGGCGACUGGACCGCUGGGUUUUAACCCCUCUGAUCACCUUUGCAUGAAAACGGGCCUGCGCUUAAUUGUGCGGCCACCAAACUUCGAACAACUGUUAACAAUGGAUAUCUUGGUUCUC